AACGAACGCUGGCGGCAUGCCUAACACAUGCAAGUCGAACGAGACCUUCGGGUCUAGUGGCGCACGGGUGCGUAACGCGUGGGAACCUGCCCUUAGGUUCGGAAUAACUCCCCGAAAGGGGUGCUAAUACCGGAUAAUGUCUUCGGACCAAAGAUUUAUCGCCUUUGGAUGGGCCCGCGUUGGAUUAGCUAGUUGGUAGGGUAAAAGCCUACCAAGGCGACGAUCCAUAGCUGGUCUGAGAGGAUGAUCAGCCACACUGGGACUGAGACACGGCCCAGACUACUACGGGAGGCAGCAGUGGGGAAUAUUGGACAAUGGGCGAAAGCCUGAUCCAGCAAUGCCGCGUGAGUGAUGAAGGCCUUAGGGUUGCAAAGCUCUUUUACCCGGGAUGAUAAUGACAGUACCGGGAGAAUAAGCUCCGGCUAACUCCGUG
rnacentral:rRNA from 1 species